rnacentral:rRNA from 1 species
GUGGAUUAGAUACCCUGGUAGUCCACGCCGUAAACGAUGAUCACUCGCUGUUUGCGAUACACAGCAAGCGGCUGAGCGAAAGCAUUAAGUGAUCCACCUGGGGAGUACGAUCGCAAGGUUGAAACUCAAAGGAAUUGACGGGGGCCCGCACAAGCGGAGGAACAUGUGGUUUAAUUCGAUGAUACGCGAGGAACCUUACCUGGGCUUAAAUGUAGAUUGCAUGAGGUGGAAACACUUCUUCCCUUCGGGGCUAUUUACAAGGUUCUGCAUGGCCGUCGUCAACU